UACGUAGGUGGCGAGCGUUGUCCGGAUUUAUUGGGCGUAAAGAGCUCGUAGGCGGCUUGUUGCGUCGACUGUGAAAACUCGGGGCUUAACUCCGGGCCUGCAGUGGGUACGGGCAGACUAGAGUGCGGUAGGGGAGACUGGAAUUCCUGGUGUAGCGGUGAAAUGCGCAGAUAUCAGGAGGAACACCGGUGGCGAAGGCGGGUCUCUGGGCCGUAACUGACGCUGAGGAGCGAAAGCGUGGGGAGCGAACAGG
rnacentral:rRNA from 1 species